ensembl:snoRNA SNORA62 Small nucleolar RNA SNORA62/SNORA6 family
GGUGAUAGUUUUAUUAAAAAAAAAAGGAUAUAGAUACUGGCCAAUUAACUCACAAGUAUAAGAAGUGUGCUAUAUGGAAGGCAAGUCUUUCACUAACACCACAAGGGUCUCUGGCCCAAUGAGUAGAGUUUGGUAGUAAUUCUUGCUACAGAU